rnacentral:rRNA from 1 species
GAUGAACGCUGGCGGCGUGCCUAAUACAUGCAAGUCGAGCGAACAGACGAGGAGCUUGCUCCUCUGACGUUAGCGGCGGACGGGUGAGUAACACGUGGAUAACCUACCUAUAAGACUGGGAGAACUUCGGGAAACCGGAGCUAAUACCGGAUAAUAUAUUGAACCGCAUGGUUCAAUAGUGAAAGACGGUUUUGCUGUCACUUAUAGAUGGAUCCGCGCCGCAUUAGCUAGUUGGUAAGGUAACGGCUUACCAAGGCAACGAUGCGUAGCCGACCUGAGAGGGUGAUCGGCCACACUGGAACUGAGACACGGUCCAGACUCCUACGGGAGGCAGCAGUAGGGAAUCUUCCGCAAUGGGCGAAAGCCUGACGGAGCAACGCCGCGUGAGUGAUGAAGGUCUUCGGAUCGUAAAACUCUGUUAUUAGGGAAGAACAAAUGUGUAAGUAACUAUGCACGUCUUGACGGUACCUAAUCAGAAAGCCACGGCUAACUACGUG